rnacentral:lncRNA from 1 species
CUUCUGGGCUAUCAACGUCUUCCUUUCCUUGAUUUCUUCGUUCCGACCUAACCCAAUCUCUGAAACAUACUAAAACUUACAAAGCAUUGCUUCCCAACUGAAAGUCUGAAAAUAAAUCAAGGCCACUUUUAAAAAUUAUUGACCCAUUCUAUGGGAUGGUCAGCUCUCAUAUGUCUUGUAAGUGUUCCAGUCCCCCCUAAAUUUCCUCC